GACGAACGCUGGCGGCGUGCUUAACACAUGCAAGUCGAACGGAAAGGCCCUGCUUUUGUGGGGUGCUCGAGUGGCGAACGGGUGAGUAACACGUGAGUAACCUGCUCUUGACUUUGGGAUAACUUCAGGAAACUGGGGCUAAUACAGGAUAGGAGCUCCUGCUGCAUGGUGGGGGUUGGAAAGUUUCGGCGGUUGGGGAUGGACUCGCGGCUUAUCAGCUUGUUGGUGGGGUAGUGGCUUACCAAGGCUUUGACGGGUAGCCGGCCUGAGAGGGUGACCGGCCACAUUGGGACUGAGAUACGGCCCAGACUCCUACGGGAGGCAGCAGUGGGGAAUAUUGCACAAUGGGUGGAAGCCUGAUGCAGCAACGCCGCGUGCGGGAUGACGGCCUUCGGGUUGUAAACCGCUUUCGCCUGUGACGAAGCGUGAGUGACGGUAAUGGGUAAAGAAGCACCGGCUAACUACGUG
rnacentral:rRNA from 1 species